CCUACGGGCGGCAGCAGUAGGGAAUCUUUCACAAUGGGCGAAAGCCUGAUGGAGCAACGCCGCGUGCAGGAUGAAGGCCUUCGGGUUGUAAACUGCUUUUAUAAGCGAGAAAUAUGAUGGUAACUUAUGAAUAAGGAUCGGCUAACUACGUGCCAGCAGCCGCGGUCAUACGUAGGAUCCGAGCAUUAUCCGGAGUAACUGGGUGUAAAGAGUUGCGUAGGUGGCAUAAUAAGUAGCUAGUGAAAUCUGGUGGCGCAACCAUUCAGACUAUUAGCUAAACUGUUAAGCUCGAGACCGUUAGGGGGAACUGGAAGUUCUAGUGUAGGAGUGAAAUCCGUAGAUAUUAGAAGGAACACCAAUAGCGAAGGCAGGUUGCUGGGACGGUUCUGACACUAAGGCACGAAAGCGUAGGGAGCAAACGGGAUUAGAUACCCCGGUAGUC
rnacentral:rRNA from 1 species